rnacentral:rRNA from 28 species
UGACCUCGGAUCAGGUAGGAAUACCCGCUGAACUUAAGCAUAUCAA